rnacentral:rRNA from 1 species
AGUGAACGCUGGCGGUAGGCCUAACACAUGCAAGUCGAACGGCAGCACAGUAAGAGCUUGCCCUUAUGGGUGGCGAGUGGCGGACGGGUGUGGCAUACAUCGGAAUCUACUUUUUCGUGGGGGAUAACGUAGGGAAACUUACGCUAAUACCGCAUACGACCUACGGGUGAAAGAAGGGGAUCUUCGGACCUUGCUCGAUUGAAUGAGCCGAUGUCGGAUUAGCUAGUUGGCGGGGUAAAGGCCCACCAAGGCGACGAUCCGUAGCUGGUCUGAGAGGAUGAUCAGCCACACUGGAACUGAGACACGGUCCAGACUCCUACGGGAGGCAGCAGUGGGGAAUAUUGGACAAUGGGCGCAAGCCUGAUCCAGCCAUACCGCGUGGGUGAAGAAGGCCUUCGGGUUGUAAAGCCCUUUUGUUAGGAAAGAAAAGCAGCAGGUUAAUACCCCGCUGUUCUGACGGUACCCAAAGAAUAAGCACCGGCUAACUUCGUG